rnacentral:lncRNA from 1 species
GUUGAUGAAGGUUGAUCUUCAAUCUCUUUCGAUCUUGAAGAUCUCUUUUCCUCUAAACACUUUGCAAAGUCGCUUCUUCUUUCUGGAUCUUUUCUUCUACGAUCAAAAGUCCUUUUCUCUGUGCCCAAAUUCAAACUAAAUAGCUUCCAGAUAACUAAAAACAUUGCGAAAUGCCCAAACUUUCCUCCAGACGUACAAAGGGGCUAAAACAUGACAAAUCAGCAAAUGGGGCGAAAUGGCCAACACGGG